AGGCUGCUCCCACCACAUGCAGGAGGCAGUGCCAGGCAGGACCCAGCAUGGACACGAGGGCCCCCACUCAGCUGCUGGGGCUCCUGCUGCUCUGGCUCCCAGGUGCCACAUUUGCAGCCGUGCUGACCCAGACACCAUCACCCGUGUCUGCAGCUGUGGGAGGCACAGUCACCAUCAGUUGCCAGUCCAGUCAGAGUGUUUAUAAUAACAACGACUUAGCCUGGUAUCAGCAGAAACCAGGGCAGCCUCCUAAGCUCCUGAUCUACAGGGCAUCCAAACUGGCAUCUGGGGUCCCAUCACGGUUCAGCGGCAGUGGAUCUGGGACACAGUUCACUCUCACCAUCAGCGGCGUGCAGUGUGACGAUGCUGCCACUUACUACUGUCUAGGCGGUUAUGAUGAUGAUGCUGAUACCACAGUGAUACAAGCCCUAACAAAAACCCCUCAGGAAAGCAGAAGUGUGAGGCUGGGCUGCCCCAGCUGCUCCUCCUGGCCCCAUCUGCUGAGAGAGAUUCUCAGAGCAGCCAGGCUUGAAGGUCCUGCAGGGUCAGGUGGAAGGGGCCAGGGUGACUCCUCUGAGGCUCCCUCCUUCCUCCUCCUUGGCGGCAGCAUCACAGAGAUGACCAUGUCCCUACUGUUUUAAGGAGGGCAAUUAUUCUUUACAAGUAUUUUA